AAGAUGAGAUUUCCCAACUUCGGUUAUAAGAUCCCUCAGAGAUGAUGAGGUUAAUAGGUUCGAGGUGGAAGCGUGGUGACACGUGGAGCUGACGAAUACUAAUCGAUCGAAGACUUAAUCAAUUU
rnacentral:rRNA from 1 species